ensembl:snoRNA
AAGACUAUACUUUCAGGGAUCAUUUCUAUAGUUUCUGACUUGAGAAAUGUGUUUCUAGAGUGUAUGGUCUCGCUAACCACGAUGAUGAGUUGUGAUAUUCUCUUUUGAGCAUGAAGCUGAUGACACAGUGUUGUGCUGUUUCAUCAUUGAUGAUUGCUUAUUGCUCUACUGCAGAGCAGUGACAAAGGGAAUAUGUUCAGAGUGGUU